GACGAACGCUGGCGGCGUGCUUAACACAUGCAAGUCGAACGGAAAGGCCCUGCUCUUGUGGGGUGCUCGAGUGGCGAACGGGUGAGUAAAACGUGAGUAACCUGCCCUUGACUUUGGGAUAACUUCAGGAAACUGGGGCUAAUACCGGAUAGGAGCUCCUGCUGCACGGGGGGGGUUGGAAAGUUUCGGCGGUUGGGGAUGGACUCGCGGCUUAUCAGCUUGUUGGUGGGGUAGUGGCUUACCAAGGCUUUGACGGGUAGCCGGCCUGAGAGGGUGACCGGCCACAUUGGGACUGCGAUACGGCCCAGACUCCUACGGGAGGCAGCAGUGGGGAAUAUUGCACAAUGGGCGGAAGCCUGAUGCAGCAACGCCGCGUGCGGGAUGCCCGCCUACUGGUUGUAAACCGCUUUCGCCUGUGACGAAGCGUGAGUGACGGUAAUGGGUAAAGAAGCACCGGCUAACUACGUG
rnacentral:rRNA from 1 species